UCCUGACUGCGACUACCAAACUGUGGGUAAGCUUAGAGAAUCAGAAAACUGGAGCAAAGCUGUUAUUGCAUGUCCCUGAGUCAAGAGGACAUUCUGACGGAACACAAACCUGCACACUGAAGCAACGUCCUUGGGAGGGCCUUACAGGGGCCACCAUGAUGUCCCAAUUCCUGCCCCUGUUGUGCUUUGUAUCGGGGUAGUAAGACUACCUGCUUCACCGGGCUGGGGCGCAGAUUAAGCAGGCUAACAUUGACCAGGGGAUUGGUGCAGUGCCUGGCACACAGUGGAUGUUACAUACGUGUUUGCUGAAAAAGUCAGCAGUCAGGGCUUGGCAUAUGACCCUGUGGAUCCACUUUGGGUUCAACUGGUUUCUGUUUUCGAUACCCUGAAACAUGUCUCAUCUCCUCAGACAGUAAGGUGAGGUGGCCUUGAGGGGCUAGGGGUGGGAAGCUCAAAGACAGUGUGGCUCCUCAUUACCGACUGAGACACAAACGCUGCGUAAUCACGUGGGUAGAGAGGAAACAGCACCCAUGCGUGCGAGUGUAGCCACCGCGUGAGGAGCAGGGGUAACCUCCCCUCCUGCCGAAUCUCUUAGCCACCAGCGUGAUCAUAGGAGACCUGAUCAUGAUUUCAGGGGAGACCAAGAAAGCUUCUGGCAGAGACCGUCCGUCACUUGCAGGAAGGGCUGGUCAUUUAUCCGCACACUAAUGACCUCACGCUAUUCCUGUCUCACAAGCUAGGGCUUUCCAAGCUCGACAGUGCUCACGUUGUACACUGCAGAAUUCUUUGUUGUGGAGGAUUGUCCUGUGCAUUGGAGAAUGCUUAGUAGUACCCUACCCACCAGAUGUGGGAAGGAUUCCACCUAAUUGUGACAAUAA